rnacentral:rRNA from 1 species
UUUACGGAGAGUUUGAUUCUGGCUCAGAACGAACGCUGGCGGCGUGUUUAAGACAUGCAAGUUGUACGGGGAAUCUUUGGAGCUUGCUUUGAGGAUUCCUAGUGGCGCACGGGUGAGUAACACGUGAGUAACAUGCCUCGUAGAGGGGAAUAGCCCGCCGAAAGGCGGAUUAAUACCCCAUGGUCCCGCAAGGGUAAAGGUGGCUUCGGCUGUCGCUACGAGAUUGGCUCGCGUCCUAUCAGCUUGUUGGUGAGGUAACGGCUCACCAAGGCAACGACGGGUAGCUGGUCUGAGAGGACGAUCAGUCACACUGGAACUGAGACACGGUCCAGACACCUACGGGUGGCAGCAGUCGAGAAUAAUUCACAAUGGACGAAAGUCUGAUGGUGCAACGCCGCGUGGAGGAUGAAGGUCUUCGGAUUGUAAACUCCUGUCAUUUGAGAGUAAGACCUGGCGGUGAAUAGCCGACAGGGUUGAUAGUAUCAAAAGAGGAAGGGACGGCUAACUUCGUGCCAGCAGCCGCGGUAAUACGAAGGUCCCGAGCGUUGUUCGGAAUCACUGGGCGUAAAGGGAGCGUAGGCGGUUGGGUAAGUCAGAUGUGAAAUCCCGGGGCUCAACCUCGGAACUGCAUCCGAUACUGCCCGACUAGAGUAAUGGAGGGGUAACUGGAAUUCUCGGUGUAGCAGUGAAAUGCGUAGAUAUCGAGAGGAACACUCGUGGCGAAGGCGAGUUACUGGACAUUUACUGACGCUGAGGCUCGAAGGCCAGGGUAGCGAAAGGGAUUAGAUACCCCUGUAGUCCUGGCAGUAAACGGUGUGCGCUUGGUGUGAGGGGUUUCGACCCCCCUUGUGCCGGAGCUAACGCGUUAAGCGCACCGCCUGGGGAGUACGGUCGCAAGACUAAAACUCAAAGAAAUUGACGGGGACCCGCACAAGCGGUGGAGUAUGUGGCUUAAUUCGAUGCAACGCGAAGAACCUUACCAGGGCUUGACAUGCAUUGCUAAUUCCGUGAAAGCGGAUGAGUCUUCGGACACCUUGCACAGGUGCUGCAUGGCCGUCGUCAGCUCGUGUCGUGAGAUGUUGGGUUAAGUCCCGCAACGAGCGCAACCCCUGUGAUUAGUUGCCAGCACGUAAAGGUGGGGACUCUAAUCAGACUGCCCAGAUCAACUGGGAGGAAGGUGGGGAUGACGUCAGGUCAGUAUGGCCCUUACGCCCUGGGCUGCACACGUACUACAAUGCCCAGUACAAUUAGAACCGAGACCGCGAGGUGGAGGAAAUCUGAAAAACUGGGCCCAGUUCGGAUUGGAGGCUGCAACUCGCCUCCAUGAAGCCGGAAUCGCUAGUAAUGGCACAUCAGCUACGGUGCCGUGAAUACGUUCCCGGGUCUUGUACACACCGCCCGUCACAUCAUGGAAGCCGGUAGCACCCGAAGUAUCUGUAUAGGUCCUAAGGUGAAGCUGGUAACUGGGAUGAAGUCGUAACAAGGUAGCCGUAGGGGAACCUGCGGCUGGAUCACCUCCUUU